rnacentral:rRNA from 1 species
GAUUAACGCUGGCGGCAGGCCUAACACAUGCAAGUCGAGCGGAUGAGAGGAGCUUGCUUCUCGAUUCAGCGGCGGACGGGUGAGUAAUGCCUAGGAAUCUGCCUGGUAGUGGGGGACAACGUUUCGAAAGGAACGCUAAUACCGCAUACGUCCUACGGGAGAAAGCAGGGGACCUUCGGGCCUUGCGCUAUCAGAUGAGCCUAGGUCGGAUUAGCUAGUUGGUGAGGUAAUGGCUCACCAAGGCGACGAUCCGUAACUGGUCUGAGAGGAUGAUCAGUCACACUGGAACUGGGACACGGUCCAGACUCCUACGGGAGGCAGCAGUGGGGAAUAUUGGACAAUGGGCGAAAGCCUGAUCCAGCCAUGCCGCGUGUGUGAAGAAGGUCUUCGGAUUGUAAAGCACUUUAAGUUGGGAGGAAGGGUUGUAGAUUAAUACUCUGCAAUUUUGACGUUACCGACAGAAUAAGCACCGGCUAACUCUGUGCCAGCAGCCGCGGUAAAAC